UCUCCGAUCGUCGAAAUUUCUUUCGAUCGAAAAGGAAAAAAUCACAAAAUUAGUUCAAUAUUGGGGACAAUGAGAGAUUGUUUAUAUGAAAUAUAAAUUUCAGUUCGAUAAAUAUUUAAUUGAACACAAAAGAAAUCCUUUAAACCAAUUUCGAAGAAAAAGUGAAAAUGCAAAUUUUCUUCGCGCCUACAUUUCAAAAUAAGUACGAAAAUACGUAAGUACCAUAAAUUUAAGGUACUCACACACACAAUUGAAUAUUUCGUAUUUGUUUUUGCUUCACCUCUUGAACAAAAUAUUUACAUAGAAGGCCUAUCUAUCCCACUGUUAUAUCAUUGGCUGUGUCAGUGUGCU